rnacentral:rRNA from 1 species
GCUCAGAUUGAACGCUGGCGGCAGGCCUAACACAUGCAAGUCGAGCGGUAGCACAGAGAGCUUGCUCUCGGGUGACGAGCGGCGGACGGGUGAGUAAUGUCUGGGAAACUGCCUGAUGGAGGGGGAUAACUACUGGAAACGGUAGCUAAUACCGCAUAAUGUCGCAAGACCAAAGUGGGGGACCUUCGGGCCUCAUGCCAUCAGAUGUGCCCAGAUGGGAUUAGCUAGUAGGUGGGGUAACGGCUCACCUAGGCGACGAUCCCUAGCUGGUCUGAGAGGAUGACCAGCCACACUGGAACUGAGACACGGUCCAGACUCCUACGGGAGGCAGCAGUGGGGAAUAUUGCACAAUGGGCGCAAGCCUGAUGCAGCCAUGCCGCGUGUGUGAAGAAGGCCUUCGGGUUGUAAAGCACUUUCAGCGGGGAGGAAGGCGAUAAGGUUAAUAACCUC